GACGAACGCUGGCGGCGUGCUUAACACAUGCAAGUCGAGCGGUAAGGUCUUUCGGGGUACACGAGCGGCGAACGGGUGAGUAACACGUGGGUGAUCUGCCCUGCACUUCGGGAUAAGCCUGGGAAACUGGGUCUAAUACCGGAUAUGACCUCCUAUCGCAUGGUGGGUGGGGGAAAGAUUUAUCGGUGCAGGAUGGUCCCGCGGCCUAUCACCUUGUUGGUGGGGUAAUGGCCUACCAAGGCGACGACGGGUAGCCGACCUGAGAGGGUGACCGGCCACACUGGGACUGAGACACGGCCCAGACUCCUACGGGAGGCAGCAGUGGGGAAUAUUGCACAAUGGGCGAAAGCCUGAUGCAGCGACGCCGCGUGAGGGAUGACGGCCUUCGGGUUGUAAACCUCUUUCAGCAGGGACGAAGCGCAAGUGACGGUACCUGCAGAAGAAGCACCGGCUAACUACGUG
rnacentral:rRNA from 1 species